rnacentral:RNase_P_RNA from 1 species
UGUGGCAAUCGGUUGGUCGCUGUGAGCUUAUGUUCAUAGAGGAAAGUCCGGGCUUCAUGUAAGCAUGGUGCCGGAUAACGUCCGGCGUCGGAGCGCGCGAGGUCUUCGAUAGGGAAAGUGCAACAGAAAGUAUACCGCCUCUCGCGAGGUAAGGGUGAAAUGGUGUAGGUAAGAGCUCACCGCAUAUGUGGUAACAUGUAUGGCACGGCAAACCCCACCUGAAGCAAGACCAAAUAGGAAGGAUACGAAUGAGAAUUCACGAUGGCUUACGAUCGGAUCCUUCGGGUAGGUUGCUAGAGCUCAUGGGUAACUAUGAGCCAAGAUGAAUGAUCAACCAGAAUGGGAAUACCAUUCGGACAGAACCCGGCUUAUAGAUUGCUACGCACA